rnacentral:pre_miRNA from 1 species
AAUAAGCUCAUUUUCAGUUUUUUGAUACAAUAUUUUGACUCUUCAUCUUAUUUAAAAUUUUAUUAUGAUUAAUAUUAUUAUUCUUACUAGAUAAAAUAUGAAUAGUACUUUAUGCGUGACUAAUUUUUUUUAAAUUUUUAUACAAGUUUUUCAAAUAAGACGAAUAGUUAAACGUUGGACAUGGAAAAAAAAUGAUGUUGCUAUG